rnacentral:rRNA from 1 species
CAAUAGCGUAUAUUAAAGUUGUUGCAGUUAAAAAGCUCGUAGUUGAAUCUUGGGAGCGGGUGGGCUAGCGAGCCACAGCCCGUCCCUGCUUCUUGCCUCUCGGUGCCCCCUGGAUGCUCUUAGCUGAGUGUCCUGUGGCCCGAAGCACUUACUUUGAAAAAAUUAGAGUGUUCAAAGCAGGCCCAAGCCGCCUGGAUACUGCAGCUUGGAAUAAUGGAAUAGGGCCACAGUUCUAUUUUGUUGGUUUUCGGAACUGAGGCCAUGAUUAAGAGGGACGGCCGGGGGCAUUCAUAUUGCACCGCUAGAGGUGAAAUUCUUGGACUGGCAGUUUAGACCAGAGCGAAGGCAUUUGCCAAGAAUGUUUUCAUUA